rnacentral:rRNA from 1 species
UAAUACGAAGGGGGCUAGCGUUGCUCGGAAUCACUGGGCGUAAAGGGUGCGUAGGCGGGUCUUUAAGUCAGGGGUGAAAUCCUGGAGCUCAACUCCAGAACUGCCUUUGAUACUGAAGAUCUUGAGUUCGGGAGAGGUGAGUGGAACUGCGAGUGUAGAGGUGAAAUUCGUAGAUAUUCGCAAGAACACCAGUGGCGAAGGCGGCUCACUGGCCCGAUACUGACGCUGAGGCACGAAAGCGUGGGGAGCAAACAGGA